GAGUUUGAUCAUGGCUCAGAGCGAACGCUGGCGGCAGGCCUAACACAUGCAAGUCGAGCGCCCCGCAAGGGGGAGCGGCAGACGGGAGAGUAACACGUGGGAACGUACCCUUCAGUUCGGAACAACCCAGGGAAACUUGGGCUAAUACCGAAUACGUCCGUAAGGAGAAAGAUUUAUCGCUGAAGGAUCGGCCCGCGUCUGAUUAGCUAGUUGGUGAGGUAAUGGCUCACCAAGGCGACGAUCAGUAGCUGGUCUGAGAGGAUGAUCAGCCUCACUGGGACUGAGACACGGCCCAGACUCCUAC
rnacentral:rRNA from 1 species